rnacentral:rRNA from 1 species
CCCCUAGAUGUUCUGGGCCGCACGCGCGCUACACUGAACAGUUCAACAAGUCUUAACCUUGGCCGAUAGGUCUGGGUAAUCUUUGAACGCUGUUCGUGAUUGGGAUAGACCUUUGCAAUUAUGGGUCUUCAACGAGGAAUUCCUAGUAAACGCAGGUCAUCAGCUUGCAUUGAUUACGUCCCUGCCCUUUGUACACACCGCCCGUCGCACCUACCGAUUGAAUGGUCCGGUGAAAUCUCGGGACGGCGGCUUGGUCGCUUGCGUCCGACUGCUGAAACUUGAUUAAACCAUAUCAUUUAGAGGAAGGUGAAGUCGUAACA